rnacentral:rRNA from 1 species
CCUACGGGUGGCAGCAGUGAGGAAUAUUUGUCAAUGGCCGGAAGGCUGAACCAGCCAUGCCGCGUGAAGGUCAGUGCCCUAUGGGCGUUAAACUUCUUUUGUGCGGGAGCAAUAAUGGUCACGUUUGGCCAGACGAGAGUACCGUACGAAUAAGCAUCGGCUAACUCCGUGCCAGCAUCCGCGGUAAUACGGGGGAUGCAAGCGUUAACCGGAUUUAUUGGGUUUAAAGGGUGCGUAGGCUGGAAGGGAAGUCAGCGGUGAAAUGCCCCCGCUCAACGGGGUGAAGUGCCAUUGAUACUGCCGUGCUGGAAUGCGGAUGCCGUGAGAGGAAUGUGUGGUGUAGCGGUGAAAUGAAUAGAUAUCACACAGAACACCGAUUGCGAAGGCAUGUCACGAAUCCGCGAUUGACGCUGAUGCACGAAAGCGUGGGUAUCAAACAGGAUUAGAUACCCGGGUAGUC